rnacentral:rRNA from 1 species
GACGAACGCUGGCGGCGUGCUUAAUACAUGCAAGUCGAACGGAAAGGCCUGCUUUCCCUUGUGGAUUGCGGGUACUCGAGUGGCGAACGGGUGAGUAACACGUGAGUGAUCUGCACCCAACUUGGGUAUAAGCCUGGGAAACUGGGUCUAAUUCUCGAUAGGACUGCAGGGUGGUGUCUGUGGAGGAAAACGUUCUUCUAGUGGUUGGGGAUGAGCCCGCGGCCUAUCUGGUUGGUGGUGGGGUAAUUGACGACCAAGACGGCGACGGGUAGUCGGAGUGAGAGCGUGGACGGCCGCAUUGGGACUGGGAUACGGCCCCUACUCCUACGGGAGGCAGCAGUGGUGCAUCAUGCACAGUGAGCGGAAGGCUGAUGCAGCGAGGGCGCGUGGGAGAUGACGGCCUUCGGGUUGUAUGCUCCUUUCGAACGCGAGGAAGCCACCUGGUUGGGAGGGUGUUGACGGUAGUGGUAGAGGAAGCACCGGCUAACUACGUG